UGGACAUGGUUACUGCUGUCAAAUGACUUGGUCAUAUUCCAUCCGUGUCAUAAGUAGAAAUUCAACGAAGCUUUGUUUGAUGAAAACUAGGCUCAAAUAGUCUAAUAAGUUGAAAGAUGCAGAGUGCUCAAGAAUUAGAGUGUUGUGUGCUCAAGAUUGCUUUGGCGGUCUUCUUGAGUUUAGGCUAUGUAUAUGUAAACACUAUUACGUUGGUUUAUGGAGUAGAUGUAAAUGGCAUCAAGUAAACCCAGCCAAGGGUGUUUACAU
rnacentral:misc_RNA from 1 species